CGUAGGUGGCAAGCGUUAUCCGGAUUACUGGGCGUAAGGGAGCGUAGGCGGAUACUUAAGUGGGAUGUGAAUACCCGAGCUUAACUUGGGUGCUGCAUUCCAAACUGGGUAUCUAGAGUGCAGGAGAGGAGAAUGGAAUUCCUAGUGUAGCGGUGAAAUGCGUAGAGAUUAGGAAGAACACCAGUGGCGAAGGCGAUUCUCUGGACUGUAACUGACGCUGAGGCUCGAAAGCGUGGGAGCAAACAGGAUU
rnacentral:rRNA from 1 species